GAAAAUUUGGCACUGUCAAGGUACUAUGAAGGUUCCCUCUUCUUUCAUUGGGCUAUAAUUAUCCUGCUUGCUAAAUUAUGUUAUUUUUCAAAUCAAAGGUCAAAACCAUCAAGAAGCUGUGCGCUGUACUUGAAUCUUUCAUCUCUAGUGUCGGUCCUUUUCUUUCUAUUCCAAUCAUUUGGUUAGGAUGGAGAAGAAAUUCUUGCAACUUGUAACUAGAAGUUGGUCUGGGUUUUUGUGCUAUUUGCAUUGCAUUGACUCGUCGUCAUUUUUUCCCUCCUUGGUUAAGUUCGUUGAUUUCAAGAUUGGA
rnacentral:misc_RNA from 1 species